GGGGGGGGGGGGGGGGGGGGUGGGGGGGGGGGGGGGGGGGGAGGGGGGGGGGGGGGGGGGGGUGCUGGGGUGGCGGCCGGGUGAGUAGGACGUGAGUAAGGUGCCCUUGACUUUGGGAUAACUUCAGGAAACUGGGGCUAAUACCGGCUGGGCGCUCCUGCUGCAUGGUGGGGGUUGGAACGUUUCGGCGGUUGGGGAUGUACUCGCGGCUUAUCAGCUUGUUGGUGGGGUAGUGGCUUACCAAGGCGUUGACGGGUAGCCGGCCUGAGAGGGUGACCGGCCACAGUGGGACUGAGAUACGGCCCAGACUCCUACGGGAGGCAGCAGGGGGGAAUAUUGCACAAUGGGCGGAAGCCUGAUGCAGCAACGCCGCGUGCGGGAGGACGGCCUUCGGGUUGUAAACCGCUUUCGCCUGUGACGAAGCGUGAGUGACGGUAAUGGGUAAAGAAGCACCGGCUAACUACGUG
rnacentral:rRNA from 1 species